rnacentral:lncRNA from 1 species
AUUUGGAUUAAGAUUUGAUUAAGGUUUGAUUUAGAAUUUAGGAUUUGGUUUAGAAUUUGGUUAGGAUUUAAUUUAGGAUUAGGGUUUGGUUAGGAUUUGAUUUAGGAUUUAGGGUUUGGAUAGGAUUUGAUUUAGGAUUUAGGGUUUGGUUUAGGAUUUGGUUGGAAUUUUGCUUAGGAUUCAUGAUUUGAUAAGGGUUUGAUUUAGAGUUAGGAUUUGAUUAGGAUUUGGUUUAGGAUUUAGGAUUUGGUUUAGGGUUUGUUUAGGGUUUGAUUUAGGAUUUAUUUAGGGUUUGAUUUAGAAUUUGUUUAGGAUUUGGUUUAGAAUUUGGUUAGGAUUUCAUUUGGGAUUUAGGAUUUGGUUUAGGAUUUAGAGUUUGGUUUAGGAUUUGAUUAAGGGUUUAGAGUUUGGUUUAGGAUUUGAUUGAGAUUUGGUUUUAGGUUUGUUUAGGAUUUGGUUUAGGAUUUAAAAUUUGAUUUAGGAUUUAAGAUUUUAUUAGGGUUUAUUUAGGAUUUAAGAUUUAAUUAGUUUUGGCCUAAAGUUUGAAUGAAGUCUAAUAGGAUUUUAACUAGGAUUAAAUUAAGAUUGCAUUGAGAUAUAUUUGAGAGAUAUUUGUGAUCAUUCUAAUAUUUCUUUAAGAUUUCUUAUUUUUUCUUUGAAAUUUCUUUGAGAUUUCUUUGAAUUUGAUUAAAGCUUGUUUAGCAUUAUUAUGGUCUAAUUAGAGCAUUGUUAGUAUUCUAUUAGAAUUAGGAUUUUGUUGCUACAAUUUCCAUUCUUCUUUCCAUAGCCAAGUGCUCAAAGCAUUGUCAAGCAAGACUUCAUGUAUUAU